rnacentral:sRNA from 14 species
AAGGCAGCAUUGUAAGAGAAAACUGAAAACUGCAUACAAAAUGGUUUUUUUAUCACGACUGUAUUUUGUGCGGCAGUGAAAUAAACGAAAGGCGUUGCUACCCUCGUUCACC